rnacentral:lncRNA from 1 species
CCGAACUCGCCAGGACAGAUGACGACCUGGUGACCUACGCCGUCGAGGGCACCAUCUAUCUCCGGAGCCCCGUUGAUCUCAUGACCCUCGCCGCCGCCACCACAGGUGAGCAAACAUACACGCCGUAUCCUUCCCUGCUUAUGUCUGUAUACAUAUGAGGUUGAUUAUUUGUUACGUGUUCCAAAGUGAGAUUGCUAAAUGGCGGCUGCUCUUACAGGAGCGGUGCCACCCUUCAAGCAGAGCUAGAAAGAGUGAUACUAUUCUUUGGUCAGGUUAUGUUUGCUAAUUGCUAUGGAUUAUUAUUUUGAGAAAAACAAUUAUGGAACUCAAUGUCUGUUAUGUCCUUUUCUGAAUUUGCAGCCGCUAAGUUUCCGAAGCUUGAUCGACAUCUUUUUAAGCAAUAGUGGUAAUCACGAGUGGC